UCAAAUAUAUCUAUUCAUAUAUAUUUCACAACAAUGAUGGAAAUCGAAGCUUUUAUUUUGUACUUGUUUUGUACAUUGCUUCUUAUCUCUGCUGUGAAAACCGAGACAACUGAAGAUGGUAAACAAUUAAUAUAUAAAUAAUUACCAUACAUUAAAGUACAAAUUAAUUUCAUAUAUUAAAAUUAUUUAUGAAUUUAUUUACAGGUUAUCCAGUUCCAAGAGAAGAAUCAAAGGGAAACGUUGGGGUCGAUGGGUAUGCACACUGGCAAGGUGGAGGACCAAUCUGGAAACCCCCCAUACCAUACCUUCACUACGCGAAAAAUGCUAUUUUACAGCGCUUUUUUUAAGCCAUUUACAGCGCUUUUUCAAAAAAUUAAGCGUUGUAGUAUCCAGCGCUGUAAAAAGAUACAACAGCGCUCUUUAAAAUAAAAAAAAAAAGCGCUGUAAAUCUCUUCUAAAAACGCGCUGCUUGUUGUAUUAGUUUUACGGCGCUUUUUAAAAAAAGCGCUGUAAUAUGCAUUCCUUUAUUUCAAUUAGAUCUCUUUCUGGGAUUAUAACAACAAUCUCCUUCAUAAAUCGUAAUAUACAGUAUCCGCAGUCUAUGUUGUUAGUUUGACGAGAGCACUAUAAAAUAAAACAUAUAAGUCAAUAAAUAUUUGUGGAUUGAUUGUUAAUGAAAUUUUAAAGCCAAACAUUUCAAACCUUUAUUAGAAUCCAUGUGAUUUAUUUGAUUUUUGCUUCGACACUGUAGCACCCAUUUGAGCUCGG
rnacentral:lncRNA from 1 species